GACGAACGCUGGCGGCGUGCUUAACACAUGCAAGUCGAACGGAAAGGCCCUGCUUUUGUGGGGUGCUCGAGUGGCGAACGGGUGAGUAACACGUGAGUAACCUGCCCUUGACUUUGGGAUAACUUCAGGAAACUGGGGCUAAUACCGGAUAGGAGCUCCUGAUGCAUGGGGGGGGUUGGAAAGUUUCGGCGGUUGGGGAUGGACUCGCGGCUUAUCAGCUUGUUGGUGGGGUAGUGGCUUACCAAGGCUUUGACGGGUAGCCGGCCUGAGAGGGUGACCGGCCACAUGGGGACUGAGAUACGGCCCAGACUCCUACGGGAGGCAGCAGUGGGGAAUAUUGCACAAUGGGCGGAAGCCUGAUGCAGCAACGCCGCGUGCGUGAUGACGGCCUUCGGGUUGUAAACCGCUUUCGCCUGUGACGAAGCGUGAGUGACGGUAAUGGGUAAAGAAGCACCGGCUAACUACGUG
rnacentral:rRNA from 1 species